rnacentral:snRNA from 1 species
AUCACUUCUCAGUCUUCUGGCUAAGAUCAACUGUAGUUUCUGUUCUUAUCAGUUUAAUAUCUGAUAUAUCCUUCAGCCAGGACAAAAAAAAAAAGAAAAAAGAAAAGAAAAGAAAAUCAUU